AUCAAUUGAAAUGAUUUGACCUUAUUUACUUAACAUCCUUCACAUACGUGAGUAAAAAUGUUUACGUUAUGUCUCCAUCUAAAUGUGUAAUUUAUAGUAAUUUGUAAUAAAUAGUAUGUACAACAGGACAGUCAAUAUAACAGAAAUACAGUUGUAUCAGCGUGAAUUAAUCGGUCUGAUGGCCUGGUGGAAGAAGCUGCCCCGGAGCCUGUAGGACCUGGAUUUUAUGCUGCGAUAGUGCCGGAUGGUAGCAGCUGAACGCUUUGUGGUUGGGGUGACUUGGGUCCCCAAUGAUCUUUCAGGCCCUUUUUACACACCUGUCUCUGUAAUUGUCCUGAAUGAUGGGAAGUUCACAUCCACAGAUGUGCUGGGCUGUCCGCACCACUCUCUGUGAAUUGUGGAGGGAGUUAAAUGUUGGUGAGUGUUACUUUGUCCUGGACGAUGAUGAGUUUUUGGAAAGUCACUGGCAGUUACACUCAUCAGGCAAGUGGAGAACGUCCCGUCACAUCCCUCACUUGUGACGUGAAGAAAUAAAGACAGAUUAGUUUUAUUCGUACAUUGAAACACAUAUGAAGGGUCUUUGAUGGCUCUGGUCCUCUACUCUCUGGAAUUCAGAAGAAUGAGGGGUGACCUCAUUGAAACCUAUCGAUUGUCGCAAGGCCUAAUAGAGUGGAUGUUUCCAGUAGUGGGAGAGUCUAGGGCCUGAAGACGCAGCUUCAGUAUAGAGGUGUGUCCUUUUAGAACAGAGAUGAGAAAUUUCUUUAGCCAGAGAGUUGUGAAUCUGUGGAUUCAUUGCCACAGGCAGCUGUGGAGGACAAGUCAUUGGGUAUAGUUAAGGCAGAGGCUGACAGAUUCUUGAUUAGUCAGGGCAUGAAGGGAUACGAGGAGAAGGCAGGUGACUGGGGCUGAGAGGGAAAAUAGAUCAGCCAUGAUGAAAAGCAGACUUGAUGGGCCAAAUGGCCUUAUGGAACUGCGUCAUUGUGUCAAAUCAAAUUUGUGAGGAUUGUGCUGUGCAGCUUGCAAGUGCCGCCAUGUUUCCAACACCACCGUAGCCAUGUGUGUGGAAUGUGGGAAGUAACUGGAAGAAACUCCCAGGGUCACGGGGAACACAUGCAAACUCUUUACAGACAGCCAUGGGAAUUGAAUGCAGUUCACUGACACUGUAAAGCAUCACGCUAACCGCUCCUGUAAUUGGAAGUUCUUGUAAUGAAGAUGAAUACAUUAUUUGCCCACUUGAAUGCCAGUCUCCCCAAGCACUUUGGCUUCUGGUGCCAGGUGAACGAAAUCCCUUCUGUAAAUCACCCUCACUGUUUAAAUCAUAUGUAGGCACAAGAGAUUCUGCAGACACUGGAAAUCCAGUGUUUCACAUGAAACGCUGGAGGAACUCAGCAGGUUAGGCAGCAUUUAUGGAAAGGAAUAAUGAAUGGACAUUUCGGACCGUUCAUAAAUUAUACGUAGCCUUUCCAUUCUUCCAAACUAGGCCACUUCUUACACGUGGUGAAAAUGUAGGAGGUGAUUUCUGAUCUCUGAUCUCCUCCAACCAGAAUAUUUAUGUGACUGAUCCUGGUGAUGAGGACAAUGAUGUCCAUGAUGGUGAAUAGGAAGAGCUUCUACUCCUCCAUCAGAUGUCUGAACAGAUAAUAAACCAAGCCAGGAACAUCAUCUCAUUAUUUUUAAUCUCCUUUUGCACUGAUUUAACUUCUUGUUGUAAUUUAUAAUCUUUCUUGUGUAUAGCUCUAAACUGCUGCCAGAAAACAACAAAUUUCACAGCGUACUGUAUGCCAGCGAUGAUAUACACCGAAAGGUGCUGGGGAAGUGUCAAUAACAUCAUGAAAGAUCCCACCCACCCUGCUCAUAGUCUGUUUGUCCCACUCCCAUCAGGGAGGAGGCUACGUAGCAUUCACACCAGGACCAACAGACUCAAAAACAGGCACUUCCCCCAAGCAGUAAAAUUGAUCAACACCUCCACCCGCCAACCCACCUCUCCACCACUACUAUAUCAUUCCGUCAGUGUCACCUUAUGUACAGACACUCCUGUGCCUACUGUCACUUUAUGGACAUGCAAUCAAUCUAUAUAUAGAAGCUAAAUUAUUGUGUUUUUAUUUAUAUUGUGUUCUUUGUGCUGCAUCGGUUCUGCAGUAACAGUUAUUCACCUUUACACUUGUGUACUGGAAAUGACAUUAAACAAUCUUGAAUCCAGAAUCUAGAUAAUUAAACCUAAUUCUGACUGUGCUAAUGGGGAACUCAUUGAUGGUAAUCCCAUUGAAUGUUGAGUGCAAUAGUUAAACUCUCUGAUCAGCAAGGCAGUUGUCUUGUGCAAAGCUUUAGUGCCCUGUAAUUGUCAAUUUGAUUUCCCCUAGGGACUGACUGAGGCUGGAAGUUUUCACAAAUAACUGAGGGAUCACUGAGUAGUCUUGCUGUUCUUUAUAGAUAAUGUUCCAGCACAAUGAAGGGGUGAGGGGGUAAGAAAUAAGAAGCCAGGAGGUGAUAGGUGCAAGUGGCAAAAGGUUAAAGAAGAAUUCUGAAUGGAGAGGAUGAAGGGAGGGAGCAGGGGCCCUCUUCCCCACCCAGCCACCAACCCUCACCUGGUCUUACCUGUCACCUGUCAGCUUGUACUUCCAUUCCCCCCCUACCUCCACCACCUUAUUCUGCUUUCUUGCCCCUUCUUUUCCAGAGCUUUGGCCCAAAAUACUGACUGUUCCACUCCGUGGAUAGUGCCUGACCUGCAGUGUUCCUCCGGCAUUUUAUGUGUGUUACUCUGGAUUUCUAGCAACCUACGUUAAUAAAACUUCCUUCUGGCAUCUCCCCGAAACUUUCCUGCACUCACCUUCAAUUGACGGCCACUGGUGCCCUAGGAAAGAGGUUGUCCGCUGUGUGCCAAAGAGAUUUGGGGGCUCAUCCAGGAUCUUUAGUUUAUUUUGUCAUGUGCUGCCCGACCUGCUGUGUGAAACUUAGACUCUGUGGGAUUCCACCCACAUUCCAAAGUCGUGCAGCUAGGCGUGAGUGAGAAGAACUCGUUUCAGGUUCUAGCCUAUGUGUUUGGAAGUUAAGCACAUGUGUGCCAAAGCCUCUUUGCUGUGGACUAGACUGGAGUUUUUAUUUCAUGUGUUUAGAAGCCAGAGUGUUUGUCGUUGAGGAAAUGCAGCCGACCAGUGAAGUUGGCGCUCCGAAUAAAUACUUUGGUUUUGCGAAACGACACGUUCACU